CUAGAAACUCUCAAUUCCGGCAGA
rnacentral:miRNA from 1 species